AGUGAACGCUGGCGGUAGGCCUAACACAUGCAAGUCGAACGGCAGCACAGUAAGAGCUUGCUCUUACGGGUGGCGAGUGGCGGACGGGUGAGGAAUACAUCGGAAUCUACUUUUUCGUGGGGGAUAACGUAGGGAAACUUACGCUAAUACCGCAUACGACCUACGGGUGAAAGCAGGGGAUCUUCGGACCUUGCGCGAUUGAAUGAGCCGAUGUCGGAUUAGCUAGUUGGCGGGGUAAAGGCCCACCAAGACGACGAUCCGUAGCUGGUCUGAGAGGAUGAUCGGCCACACUGGAACUGAGACACGGUCCAGACUCCUACGGGAGGCAGCAGUGGGGAAUAUUGGACAAUGGGCGCAAGCCUGAUCCAGCCAUACCGCGUGGGUGAAGAAGGCCUUCGGGUUGUAAAGCCCUUUUGUUGGGAAAGAAAAGCAGCAGGUUAAUACCCCGCUGUUCUGACGGUACCCAAAGAAUAAGCACCGGCUAACUUCGUG
rnacentral:rRNA from 1 species